AGAUUACAUUUUUUUGGGUUUAUGGCCUGGUAUCUAACCUUUUAGGCUUAGUCUUCAGUAUUUCAUUCGGUUCAUUAUAAUUUCCAUACUGUAUUUUUGAUGAAUUUAUAUAGAGAAUUGUUGCAAAAGUUACAGUAGUCGCUCUCCACUAUGCCCAACCGAGUCAGGUGGGCUGGGACGAUGGAGUGACCUAAACGCAGUCAGUUUAUAGUCAUAAUAAAGUCCCGACUGGCCAUUUUCAGUUUAUUAUACCAUGGUGCUACAGUACAAUGAGAGGCAGAACUGGGAAAUAACCUCUUAAAAGCUCACCAUCCGAAGUCUGCUGGGAGCAUUGUGCAAAGAUCUGACAAGAGAGAAAUGAAGCUGUCACCACAACUUCGAAGCCAUAUUGAACAUGUGGAAUGAUAUUGUUCACUUCGACAUAACAUUCAAGACACAUUUUUAUCAUGUUUUCAUUAAGCUAUGAGUUAGGAUCUUCAGGUGGCUUAUCAAGCUUAAGUAUAAGGAUUACACACUGUGUUUAUUAUUAGCUAAUAGUUAUUUUUGAACAGACUGAUUUAGGUUUUUAGGAUCAAAAUGUAUGGACAAUCAUCUAAACCAGGGGUUGUGUUUCGUCGGGAUUGUAAACUUGUACAAAACUCACUCCAAGUAAAGGAUUCUAUGAGGAAAUUAGACUUCUCAAUUAAUUUGAAAAUAACUUUCUACUUUAUCAAUAACCCUACUACAUCCAUUUUGAGAUAAUUUUUCUAAGAGAGGGACAACAAAUUCGUCUUUAUAUGUUCUAUUAUUGCAUUUUAUUUGUUUAAAUAACUUGAUGUAUUUCCAAAUAAUACUAAAAAUAGUUCGUAAUAUAAAAUAGUUCUAUUAAAAGUAUUACAGAUAUUUGCACUGCCAUUGCAUUUAUGUUCUGAAAUAGUCUUUCUUAACAGCAUCAAGUCUUUUGUAAUUAAUGUAAUUAUCAAUAGUUGGAUCCCUUCUGUAAAGUUUUAAUAAUACUCUGUUCACACAUGUCACUCCACCAAGGUGCUGGAGGUUUGUAACAAUAGUUAUUUGCUUUUACAAACUUUGGCACAGCGUCCCUUUUAAGUGCA